rnacentral:rRNA from 1 species
UACGGGAAGCAGCAGUGGGGAAUAUUGCACAAUGGGCGCAAGCCUGAUGCAGCCAUGCCGCGUGUAUGAAGAAGGCCUUCGGGUUGUAAAGUACUUUCAGUCGUGAGGAAGGUGUUAAGGUUAAUAACCUUAGCAAUUGACGUUAGCGACAGAAGAAGCACCGGCUAACUCCGUGCCAGCAGCCGCGGUAAUACGGAGGGUGCGAGCGUUAAUCGGAAUUACUGGGCGUAAAGGGCACGCAGGCGGUUAAUUAAGUUGGAUGUGAAAUCCCCGGGCUUAACCUGGGAAUGGCAUUCAAGACUGGUUAGCUAGAGUCUUGUAGAGGGGGUAGAAUUCCAUGUGUAGCGGUGAAAUGCGUAGAGAUGUGGAGGAAUACCGGUGGCGAAGGCGGCCCCUGGACAAAGACUGACGCUCA